rnacentral:rRNA from 1 species
UACGAAGGGGGCUAGCGUUGCUCUGAAUGACUGGGCGUAAAGGGCGCGUAGGCGGAUGGCACAGUCAGAUGUGAAAUUCCUGGGCUUAACCUGGGGGCUGCAUUUGAUACGUGUGAUCUGGAGUGAGGAAGAGGGUUGUGGAAUUCCCAGUGUAGAGGUGAAAUUCGUAGAUAUUGGGAAGAACACCGGUGGCGAAGGCGGCGACCUGGUCCUUAACUGACGCUGAGGCGCGAAAGCGUGGGGAGCAAACAGG